rnacentral:rRNA from 1 species
AGCAGUAGCCACGGGAAUACGUAGGUGGCGAGCGUUGUCCGGAAUUAUUGGGCGUAAAGGGAGCGCAGGCGGACAUAUAAGUCCAUCUUAAAAGUGCGGGGCUCAACCCCGUGAGGGGAUGGAAACUGUAUGCCUUGAGUGUAGGAGAGGAAAGCGGAAUUCCCAGUGUAGCGGUGAAAUGCGUAGAUAUUGGGAGGAACACCAGUGGCGAAGGCGGCUUUCUGGACUGCAACUGACGCUGAGGCUCGAAAGCCAGGGGAGCGAACGGGAUUAGAUACCCCCGUAGUCCCUGUCUCUUAUACC